rnacentral:rRNA from 1 species
AUUGAACGCUGGCGGCAUGCCUUACACAUGCAAGUCGAACGGCAGCGGGCCUUCGGGUGCCGGCGAGUGGCGAACGGGUGAGUAAUGCAUCGGAACGUGCCAUUGAGUGGGGGAUAACGUAGCGAAAGUUGCGCUAAUACCGCAUAUUCUGUGAGCAGGAAAAGCAGGGGACCGCAAGGCCUUGCGCUCUUUGAGCGGCCGAUGUCAGAUUAGCUAGUUGGUGAGGUAAAGGCUUACCAAGGCGACGAUCUGUAGCGGGUCUGAGAGGAUGAUCCGCCACACUGGAACUGAGACACGGUCCAGACUCCUACGGGAGGCAGCAGUGGGGAAUUUUGGACAAUGGGGGCAACCCUGAUCCAGCCAUGCCGCGUGAGUGAAGAAGGCCU